rnacentral:misc_RNA from 1 species
GAUGAAGAACGUAGCGAAAUGCGAUACGUAGUGUGAAUUGCAGAAUUCCGUGAACCAUCAAAUCUUUGAACGCAUAUUGCGCUCGAGGCUUCGGCCGAGAGCAUGUCUGCCUCAGCGUCGGUAUUACCCCUCGCUUCUCAACCCCCGGUUGAUGCCUGCCUGCCUUUGCAGUUGGCUAGAAGCGGAUCUGGCUUUCCCAAUUGCCUUUGGUAGUUGGGUCAGCUGAAGCACAGAGGCUUGAGCAAGGACCCUUAUUGGGCUUCAACUGGAUAGGUAGAACUGGUCUUAGGACCAACUACACGAUGUUGUUGCUUGUGGUCUUUGUCUGGAGGCCAGCAGGAAACCUUUAUACCUUCGACCUGAGCUCAGGCAAGAUUACCCGCUGAACUUAAGCAUAUCAAUAAGCGGAGGA